UAUGCCUACGGGAGGCAGCAGUGGGGAAUAUUGCACAAUGGGGGAAACCCUGAUGCAGCGACGCCGCGUGAAGGAAGAAGUAUUUCGGGUUGUAAACUUCUUUUCUUGGGGACGAAGAAAGUGACGGUACCCAAGGAAUAAGCCACGGCUAACUACGUGCCAGCAGCCGCGGUAAUACGUAGGUGGCAAGCGUUAUCCGGAUUUAUUGGGUGUAAAGGGCGUGUAGGCGGGAAUGCAAGUCAGAUGUGAAAACUAUGGGCUCCACCCAUAGCCUGCAUUUGAAACCGUAUUUCUU
rnacentral:rRNA from 1 species